ACGAACGCUGGCGGCACGCUUAACACAUGCAAGUCGAACGAGAGAAGAGAAGCUUGCUUUUCUGAUCUAGUGGCGGACGGGUGAGUAACACGUGAGCAAUCUGCCUUUCAGAGGGGGAUACCGAUUGGAAACGAUCGUUAAUACCGCAUAACAUAAUUGAACCGCAUGAUUUGAUUAUCAAAGAUUUAUCGCUGAAAGAUGAGCUCGCGUCUGAUUAGCUAGUUGGUAAGGUAACGGCUUACCAAGGCGACGAUCAGUAGCCGGACUGAGAGGUUGAUCGGCCACAUUGGGACUGAGACACGGCCCAGACUCCUACGGGAGGCAGCAGUGGGGAAUAUUGCACAAUGGAGGAAACUCUGAUGCAGCGAUGCCGCGUGAGGGAAGAAGGUUUUAGGAUUGUAAACCUCUGUCUUCAGGGACGAAAAAUGACGGUACCUGAGGAGGAAGCUCCGGCUAACUACGUGCCAGCAGCCGCGGUAAUACGUAGGGAGCGAGCGUUGUCCGGAAUUACUGGGUGUAAAGGGAGCGUAGACGGCAAGGCAAGUCUGAUGUGAAAGCCCAGGGCUUAACCCUGGGACUGCAUUGGAAACUGUCUGGCUCGAGUGCCGGAGAGGUAAGCGGAAUUCCUAGUGUAGCGGUGAAAUGCGUAGAUAUUAGGAAGAACACCAGUGGCGAAGGCGGCUUACUGGGCUUUAACUGACGCUGAGGCUCGAAAGCGUGGGGAGCAAACAGGAUUAGAUACCCUGGUAGUCCACGCCGUAAACGAUGAUUACUAGGUGUGGGGGGACUGACCCCUUCCGUGCCGCAGCAAACGCAAUAAGUAAUCCACCUGGGGAGUACGACCGCAAGGUUGAAACUCAAAGGAAUUGACGGGGGCCCGCACAAGCAGUGGAGUAUGUGGAUUAAUUCGAAGCAACGCGAAGAACCUUACCAGGUCUUGACAUCGUAUGCAUAGCUCAGAGAUGAGUGAAAUCUCUUCGGAGACAUAUAGACAGGUGGUGCAUGGUUGUCGUCAGCUCGUGUCGUGAGAUGUUGGGUUAAGUCCCGCAACGAGCGCAACCCUUACUGUUAGUUGCUACGCAAGAGCACUCUAGCAGGACUGCCGUUGACAAAACGGAGGAAGGUGGGGAUGACGUCAAAUCAUCAUGCCCCUUAUGACCUGGGCCUCACACGUACUACAAUGGCUGUCAACAGAGGGAAGCAAAGCCGCGAGGUGGAGCAAACCCCUAAAAGCAGUCUUAGUUCGGAUUGUAGGCUGCAACCCGCCUACAUGAAGUCGGAAUUGCUAGUAAUCGCAGAUCAGCAUGCUGCGGUGAAUACGUUCCCGGGCCUUGUACACACCGCCCGUCACGCCAUGGGAGUCGGUAACACCCGAAGCCUGUAGUCUAACCGCAAGGAGGACGCAGUCGAAGGUGGGAUUGAUGACUGGGGUG
rnacentral:rRNA from 1 species